rnacentral:rRNA from 1 species
GAUGAACGCUGGCGGCGUGCCUAACACAUGCAAGUCGAGCGAAAACACGAGGAGAUUUUUCCCUUGAGGUUAGCGGCGGACGGGCGAGUAACACGUGGAUAAGCUACUAAUAUGACUGGGCUAAUACCGGGAAAUCGCAGCCAAUACUGCCUCAUACAAUGAACGGCUUGGAUCAAUAGUGAUACACGGCUUUGCCGACACAUAUAGAUGGAGUCGCGCCGCAUUGGUUAGUUGGUAAGGUAACGGCUAACCAAGGCUGCGAUGCGUAGCCGACCUGAGAGGGUGAUCGGCCACACUGGAACUGAGACACGGUCCAGACUCCUACAGGAGGCAGCAGUAGGGAAUCUUCCGCAAUGUGCGAAAGCCUGAUCGAGCAACACCGCGUGAGUGAUGAAGGCCUUCGGGUCGUAAAACCCUGUUGUUAGGAAAGAAGAAAUGUUUGAGUAACUAUGCACGUCUUGACGGUACCUAAUCAAUAAGCCACGGCUAACUACGUG